rnacentral:tRNA from 1 species
GCCUUUGUGGUGUAAUGGUCAGCACGCUCGGCGCGUAUUCGCGUAUCCAUGGUUCGAGUCCUCGCAACGGCA